UGUGGCGACACAAAUUUAGUAGUAUGAGAUCAACUACUAAUCUACAAUUUUGUUAAAAGGUCUUAAAAUCUCUGCUAGUUUUAUAAUUCUCUUUCUUCUUGGUGAGUGACAUAACUUCCACAGUUGGGAGUAUAAAUAAGAGAGUGUAAUCACUCACAACGCAACUUUGGGGCGCUUAAACCAUCAAAAUUUGGGCUUUUGUUACGGACGCCUUCCAAGAUCUCUAUUCUUGCUCGCUCUCGCCAUUCUACUCCCAAAUGCAGUUCGAGAAAUCACAUCAGCAGUCAUAGUUUGUAGGUAAGGCAUUACAUCCAACUCACAAGAUCCUUCUACAGAGACCAUGCUUUCCCAUUUCCUAACCAUCUCGUUACAGCUGUGGUAGAAUGUUGGUACCAUAUCCUAUAAACCAAUGUAAAGGAUUGAUUAUCUUUCUGUGUUUGACCCAUUUUGGCCCUUCAUGAUUUAAAAGUCCAUCCGCAAGCAACUUGGCAAGGGGAUUCAAAUUCCUAGUUGGCUUUUGGAAAUCAUUGAUCAAUGAGAACACAAUUUUA